AGCUAAUAGAUACCCUGGUAGUCCUGGCAGUAAACGGUGCGCGUUUGGUGUGGGAGGAUUCGACCCCUUCUGUGCCGGAGCUAAACGCGUUAAACGCGCCGCCUGGGGAGUACGGUCGCAAGACUAAAACUCAAAGAAAUUGACGGGGGCCCGCACAAGCGGUGGAGUAUGUGGCUUAAUUCGAUGCAACGCGAAGAACCUUACCUAGCCUUGACAUGCAUCUCUAAGUCGGUGAAAGCCGGCGAGUGUAGCAAUACACAAUUUGCACAGGUGCUGCAUGGCUGUCGUCAGCUCGUGUCGUGAGAUGUUGGGUUUAAGUCCCGCAACGAGCGCAACCCCUGUGAACUGUUGCCACCACACUACGGUGUGAGCACUCUGUUCAGACUGCCCUGUGAAACGGGGAGGAAGGUGGGGAUGACGUCAAGUCAGCAUGGCCCUUACGGCUAGGGCUGCACACGUACUACAAUGCUCAGUACAGAAUGAACCGAAACCGCGAGGUGGAGGAAAUCCAUAAAACUGAGCCCAA
rnacentral:rRNA from 1 species